rnacentral:tRNA from 1 species
GCCUGGGUGGCUCAGUGGGUUGAGCGUCCGACUUCGGCUCUGGUCAUGAUCUCGCGGUUUGUGAGUUCGAGCCCCACGUCGGGCU